AAAUAGCGACAACUGCCAUUUCUCUUUUGGUGUUUGGGACUAUAGGUCACCCAGGUGCUAUUCGUUUACUUUAAUUGCGUCCGCGGCUGUCGAAUAAAUGAGUGGUUAAUAGAGCAGCUCUGGUUCCCCAAGGUAAGGGCAUAACGGCGCUACAUCUCUUCACAUCUCACACAAACGUUUGAAGUUGCACAAUCAUUUGGCACAAUUAUUUCAGUCCUCUGUUGGUUGCCUCGUCUUAAGACCAAUUUCUCGAAAUGUUCUUUAUUUUAUUGCACGCAUGUAUCCAGUGGGUAAAGUACAUCAACACGUUAAAACAAUACAAUUGCAUGUGAGUAUAUUCAACGAGUUGUUUUUCGGGACAUUUUUCUAACAGGCCCCUAAACUCAAAUGCCGACUGAAUCCACUGCUGAACCAUCCGCGUGUCGGACUUCUUCAUAAGUUGAGGCCCGCCAGCAGCUGUGUGUAUCAGUGUCUCGUUGUGCAAGCAGUGUGAGGACUCUUCUCUCCCCUGUCCAACAAGCACGGACAACGCAGUUCAGCCACUGGAGACCCCGUAGGGAGUGGCGCACCUUGGGAGAACGGCUGGCCCUCAGUGGUUAUCAUGACGACAGAGUGAUCGAUGGAGCCUGGGAGAGCAGAGCGAGGGUCACUUCCUCCUCCAUAUGAUGACAGCACAAGAUGUGGAGGAGGAGGGACAGACAAAACAACCAUUGAGGGAGCUGCUCUGCCUUCAGCCCGAGGGUCUGAACAUGCUCAGCUGGGGGCCGCUGCCUGCAGUUGACCCCUCUAAAUCCAAACUGUCCCUUUGACUGUUGAGAAAUAGUAAAACAGUGAAAGCUCCCUCAGGGGAGUAAAAGGUGUUAGUUUGUUUUCAUAGAAUUGAAACAGAACUUUUCACCACAGACAUAAGU